AUUACUAGAGCAUGGACAAGCUCCUUGGUAGUAUCUGGUGCAAGAAAGGGGUGGAUGCGGGCUAUGUUUUUAAGAUGGAAUCUACAGGAUUUGGCAACAUGCUGGAUGUGAGGCUCAAAGGUGAGACCAGAGUCAAGUAUGACGCCAAGACAGUGCGCUUGCAAGGAUGGCCUGAUGUUGGUACCACAAACUUGAAGGGAGAGCGAAAGAGGAGGAUCAGUAUUAGGAGGAG